rnacentral:rRNA from 1 species
GGUUGCGAUCAUACCAGCACUAAUGCACCGGAUCCCAUCAGAACUCCGCAGUUAAGCGUGCUUGGGCGAGAGUAGUACUAUGAUGGGUGACCCCCUGGGAAGUCCUCGUGUUGCAACCCC